rnacentral:rRNA from 1 species
GACAGAGGGUGCGAACGUUGUUCGGAAUUACUGGGCGUAAAGCGCGUGUAGGCGGCAGCGCAAGUCGGGCGUGAAAUCCCACGGCUCAACCGUGGAAGUGCACUCGAAACUGCGCAGCUAGAGUCCUGGAGAGGAAGGUGGAAUGCUUGGUGUAGAGGUGAAAUUCGUAGAUAUCAAGCGGAACACCGGUGGCGAAGGCGGCCUUCUGGACAGUGACUGACGCUGAGACGCGAAAGCGUGGGGAGCAAACAGGG